rnacentral:misc_RNA from 1 species
GAUGAAGAACGUAGCGAAAUGCGAUAAGUAGUGUGAAUUGCAGAAUUCAGUGAAUCAUCGAAUCUUUGAACGCACAUUGCGCCUUCUAGUAUUCUGGGAGGCAUGCCUGUUUGAGCGUCAUUAAACCUCUCUCAAGUAUGAUUACUUGGAUGUGAAGGAAGAGUACCUUAAACUUAAGGAGUGUUCUCCUUUGAAAUUGAUUAGCAGAUGGUAAUGUUAUUAAAUUCCUGAUGUUGUAAGAAAUAACAGUGGUUUUGUAGACUAUUAUCUAGCUUUAAAUUAUAAUUUUUAUUAUGGUUGACCUCAAAUCAGGUAAGGAUACCCGCUGAACUUAAGCAUAUCAAUAAGCGAGGA